UUAAAAACUAUGAAAAAGAAAAGUAGCAUAAAGGAAGUUUACAGAGAGAAAAGGAUGCUGAGAACUUUUUAUCUAGAAUUUAUGUGAAGUGCUCUUUGGAGUUGAAAUUUGAAAUUAAAUAUAUUAAAAAAUGGAGCGAUAGUAUAGCCAUUGAUUUUUUGAUAUAUUUUUUAGUAUGAUUUUCCGGGAUCACCCGUUAUAGUGAUAUGAUAUCUUAAGUAUCAAAAUUGAGAGGGAUUAGUUAUUUAAUCCAAUUAGAGUGGAACCGCGAAAUUUACUUCGUCUCUAUA
rnacentral:ncRNA from 1 species